CCUACGGGCGGCAGCAGUGGGGAAUAUUGGACAAUGGGCGAAAGCCUGAUCCAGCCAUGCCGCGUGUGUGAAGAAGGCCUUCGGGUUGUAAAGCACUUUCAGUGGGGAAGAAAGCCUUGGGGCUAAUACCCUCGAGGAAGGACAUCACCCACAGAGGAAGCACCGGCUAACUCCGUGCCAGCAGCCGCGGUAAUACGGAGGGUGCGAGCGUUAAUCGGAAUUACUGGGCGUAAAGCGCGCGUAGGCGGUCUGAUAAGCCGGUUGUGAAAGCCCCGGGCUCAACCUGGGAACGGCAUCCGGAACUGUCAGGCUAGAGUGCAGGAGAGGAAGGUAGAAUUCCCGGUGUAGCGGUGAAAUGCGUAGAGAUCGGGAGGAAUACCAGUGGCGAAGGCGGCCUUCUGGACUGACACUGACGCUGAGGUGCGAAAGCGUGGGUAGCAAACAGGAUUAGAUACCCGAGUAGUC
rnacentral:rRNA from 1 species